GAUGAAGAACGCAGCGAAAUGCGAUAAGUAAUGUGAAUUGCAGAAUUCAGUGAAUCAUCGAAUCUUUGAACGCACAUUGCGCCCGCCAGUAUUCUGGCGGGCAUGCCUGUUCGAGCGUCAUUACAACCCUCAGGCCCCCGGGCCUGGCGUUGGGGAUCGGCGGAGCCCCCCGUUGGCACACGCCGUCCCCCAAAUACAGUGGCGGUCCCGCCGCAGCUUCCAUCGCGUAGUAGCUAACACCUCGCGACUGGAGAGCGGCGCGGCCACGCCGUAAAACACCCAACUCUUCUGAAGUUGACCUCGAAUCAGGUAGGAAUACCCGCUGAACUUAAGCAUAUCAAUAAGCGAGGA
rnacentral:misc_RNA from 1 species